rnacentral:rRNA from 1 species
UACAGAGGUCUCAAGCGUUGUUCGGAUUCAUUGGGCGUAAAGGGUGCGUAGGUGGUGAUGCAAGUCUGGUGUGAAAUCGUCGGAGCUCAACUCCGAAUUGCACCGGAUACUGCGUGACUCGAGGACUGUAGAGGAGAUCGGAAUUCACGGUGUAGCAGUGAAUGCGUAGAUAUCGUGAGGAAGACCAGUUGCGAAGGCAGCUCGCUGGACGUUACUGACGA